UACUUACUAUUUUUGUUCAGGAAAGAUGAAAGAUCCAGAUGCGAAAUUUAUUAAAACAAUAAAUAAUAAUUUAAAGCUGAACCUUUCGUGCAACUACUUAUAAGACAAGAGACGACGAAUAAAGAAGACGAAAAGGACUCUACAAUAUGCAGUCACAUUUCGAUUCAUCCGUAUAGGAAAAGAUCCGAAAAGGCGGCUCAGCAUCCCAGAAGCUGUUUCUGUUCCUAGACUCCUUUAGUGGGGCUACCUGAACACCGCUGAAGCGAAAAGAAACCAAAAUGUGUAUAUAAUAUUUAAAUUAUUAUUUAUUAUUUUAAUAAAUUUUGCAUCUGGA
rnacentral:lncRNA from 1 species